AUCUGCAGUUUUCCUGCUCCUCACUGGCCCACAGUUUUCUUCUGUAUUUCAUGUCUUGAUUCAAAUGAGGAGUAUGUAUGGGAACUGUUGAAUCACAGCCUGAACCUCUGAUUGACCACCUGAGGUGAGCGCUGAGUCAGCCGCAGGGGCACAGGUGAAUGCAAUUCUCAUAGACCCCAUUUAAGGGCUGAUUCCCAAGGAGGAAGGAUCUCUAUCUGGAGAUCACCCUUCUUGGAGCCCUUCUGUGAGCUCAGGACAAGGCUGAAACCUAAUCCUACCUUGGUUAGCAUAACAGAGAGAACAGGAAGUGCUGUGAAGGAAUUUUUCAUUCCCUGGGACGUCUUUGAUCCCCCUCCCCUCCCUUUUCCUAUCAGGUUGCCAGUCAGAAGUCCCUUAGAAGUCAACAGGAGUGAAGACAACAGCCUGCUGUAGAGAUUACUCUGACUGUUCAAACAGUGCCAUGACGAUCUUAGAGCUUCUCCUGGUCAAAGUGACAGCGCUGGGGUAAGCUGCAACAAUAACAGAGCAUCUGUCAUCCAUCCAUCAGAACGAAGAUGUCAUCUGUAAUCUACUUCAAGGUUAAAAGGUCUCAUGCACCCAAAAAGACGUGCUAUCAUGCUACCAUGCCUCUCCAAGGGGAGCAGCUGUUGGUAUAUAGAGGAACAAGAGGAUGGCACUGCUGUGUCAGGCUGUACGUAGGACAUCUUCUUGUGAUGCAUCGCAGCUUGCAUUCAGUGGCUCUUCUCUGAGCCUUAACCAUAGAAUGUGAAGAUCUGCUGGGCAGUAGAUGUGACUGACAUUCAUGUGAAAUCAAUUCCCCUGUGCAGGAGGCUCAACACUCUCAGGUGAGUUGAAAUGUGUUUUUAGUAGGAGUUAAUUGGGGAUAGAGUAUUUAUUUUUAGCUCAGGCUUUGCUUCCUUGGGUUCCAUUCAGAAGUGUCAAAGGUUUUACCUUCCCAAGGCAAAAAUAAAAUGGAAACAGCCAGAUCCUAAACUGCUUGCUUUGAAUAAUCAGAAUGGAGGUCUAUGUAAUAUACAAAUAUUUCAGGAGGAAAAACAGAACCUGAAGCUGAAAAACAAGGGCUGCAGGGCUGGGGAGGAUAAGCACCCUGUGGGGCUGGGCAUUCCUCUGGCACUGCAUUCCCAAGCAAAAGAAAAAGAAAAAAAAGGAGAGGCUUAAUUGACCAAAGGCCUGAUUGUCUUUUCAGACACCCUUCUUGAUGUGGUUGGAGAUUGGAACCCUUCUGGAAAGCGCCUUGACAUUUCAUAGCUUAGAUAUUUCCUCCAUUGCUUUUGACUUUCAGGCCUCAAUUAUUUCCACCAGGAGAGCGUUUGCCAAGCUGAUGAAAUUGGAAACAGAGUGGAUGUUAUAAAAUACAGGUAGCUCGGGCGGCUGUGCGUGAUGCUGCCUCGUGUGGUUUUUUCAUUUGAGUUCUCCCGACGCUCUGCAUGGGCUGCAGUGGGGCAGCUCUCAGAGGCAGCAGCGUGCAAGACGGCCGUGCACGUGUGUGUGCACACGUGAGGCCAGGUAUUGAUUUUAGCUGGGUUUCUAAUCUGGAAAAUUCCUUAUAGUCUUUGCAGAGAUUAAUUAUUCUUCCCUGGUUGUGGAAGGAAAGGAGGGAAACUGUUCUUGUCCCUCAACAGGUUUUGAUGGAAAUUAUAUUCCAGUGCCAAAUGGUCAUUGAAAACAUUUUUAAAGAACAUUUAUGGGGAAAAUAUCACAGUUCUCUGGCUUUUUGUGCCCUGUUUAACUGUUUUUGUGGGGAUGGAAACCUGUAAACUUUCAAUUUACUGCAGCCAUCCUGUUUUACAGCUUAGAAAAACACCUCCAGAACUGCUCUCUUUCAGGGGCUUUGCUGUCGUACCUGGGCAAGGCAACUGCACUAAUGCAGCCAGAGCUGCUGGUGCUCAGCGCAUCGGAAAAUUUGGCCUGAAUCAGGAUGCUUAAAUAUGAUGGCCUCUAAAUAUAGACUUCUAGCAGUGCUGAGUGAGGUGUUGGGUGUGGGACCAUCUAGACAUAAGUAAAACCAACCAACCCCCCCUAUUGUUUGCCUUCCAAACAAGAGCUGAUGCAGGAUCCACCUUGCACAGCCCUGCUCUCCAUCCCAUGGCCCCAGGUUAAAAAAAAUGCAAGCUAAAUUGUAACCAUACAGAGCAAGGAAGGUGCUGCAGAACAAACAAGUCCGAGCGAGGUUAGCAUCCGCAGAGGGAGAGUGUUUCACUGAACACAUCCACGCUUCCAAAACACCUACACCAUAUUCUGUCCUAAUGUAAGAUUUCCAUUUGGGUUCGGAUCAGCAUCUGUAUAUUUCCAGUGAUCUGAUUAAAGAUGGUGGGGCUCAUCCAGCUCCAGCACUGCAGUGCUGGGGGAAGCUCAGGUCCCCACAGAGGAUCCUUGAGCUCUCUAACCCUGUUUUCUAAGGAAAUAUAAGGCAGGGUUCCAUUUAUUUAUUUCCAUAUCCCAGAUAUUGUCUUGGGAGAAGGGGAUUGUUUUCCAGAGCUCGUGUUGGUGCUGCUGAGCCUUUCCUAGGGAUCAGCCAAAACUUCCAGCUGGGCUCAUCAACUCUUCCUGGGCUACCUGAAAUGUUUAUCAGUCCUUGUGCCAAUCAGAGAAGUAGGGCCUGCAUCACUUCCAAUAACUCAGCCUUCACCUGAAGAUCAGUAUAACAUCUAAAUCUGUGUUUCAACACAGAGUUAGUGUGACCUGCUCCGCUCAGCUCUCUUAUCACUUGGGGCAUUUCAUGUUGCAGCCAUGUCUGUCCAAGUCUGAGAGAUAAAGUUUAAUCAAACGAAUGAUUUGUUAUUCUCCAGCAGGGAUUAACAAAGGUGUUUAAAACACUGUGUUCAUAUUCACCAUGAGGAUAAAGGGGAUUUUGGAACAGUGAUAUCACUGGGUUUCAGUGUGACCUGUAUGGUGUUAAAAGCAGGGGAAGCUGUGAUGAACCAUGCUGGGCAGUGACGUUCACAUGUGUACAACUAAAGUCCUUAAAGCAGAUGAGUAAUUUGGACUCAAUUUUUAUUUAAAUCAAGUCUCUGUUACAUGCAUCUAUGCCCACGCCUUGAAAUUCUCUCCAGUCAUGCAUUUGGCGUAGGUGGGAAUACCUCCUUCACAGGUAAACUUAGUGUUCCUUUCAUAGAGAAGGCCGUUACCAUUGACUUCCCUCUGUUAAGAAAAAAAAAGAGGAUUUUUUUUCAUAACAAUUUAACUUUGAGCAGUAUUUAUUUAUUCAAGAAGUUUUCCUGACAGUGUGUAAAAGAAGGAUCAUUUAGAAAAGAAAAAAAGGUUCAGUAAUGUAAGUCCUCAUUUGGGACUGCGUCUCAAAUUAUAUCUUUUUGAUUCUGACUUUCUGCCCAGGUUCCAGUGGAAACUUUUUUUCACUUAAAAAGCAAAUUUCUUUCUUUGAAGGCAACCAAUCUAGCAGUGUUUUUUUUUUUUUUUUCUUGUUUCUAAACUGCAGAGAAACUCUCAUGGCAGUGGUAUAAAGUUGGCCUGUGGCCUCAUGGGCCGUAAGGUGGGCUUGAUGGUGCUGUGUCAGUGCUUGUGUCAGUGCCUAGCCAUUGUUUUGUUCCCCCUUUGUCCACCGAAGCUCUGUCUUCAAUCCUGUCAUUUUUGGAGGUGUUUGCAGGCAUGGUUAUGUCUUUCCUCUUCCUGAGUUAAUGAUGGUACAGGCUGUCCAGAGAGCUGGUGGAGUCACCAUCCCUGGAGGUGUCCAGGAACCAUGAUUCUAUUGGCUCAGAAUGAUGCUUGUGCCUUUUGGGUCCCAGCAAAUAUAGAAUUUUAUGAGUCUGUAUAGGAAUUGUUGAAUCACAGCCUGAACCUCUGAUUGACCACCUGAGGCGAGUGCUGAGUCAGCCGCAGGGGCACAGGUGAACUCAAUUCUCCAAGACCCCAUUUAAGGGCUGACUCCCAAGGAGGAAGGCUCUCUAUCUGGAGAUCACCCUUCUUGGAGCCCUUCUUUAAGCCCAGGACAAGGGUAAGCUCUUUAUUUCAUUACUCCUUUGUAAAUGCGAUAAUCUCUCUGGUCCUGUACCUAUUUACCUUCCAAUCUGUAUACCUGUUUGCCAUACAGAGACCCUAUGCUUACAUUCCUCCUUUAAUGCUUAAGAGAUAAAAGCUCCCAUUCAGGCUGCUUACCUGGGUGUCUCACAUAAUCAUUAAAGUGGUUUCAGAGGCCAAGGAAGCAAGAAGUAAUUGCUGCAGGGCUGCCAGACCUUGUCUGCACUGAGUGUGCAGGUGCCCACUGUGGGGGGCUGUGGGGAACAGCCCAUCCACACCCCACCUCCGCAGCCAAGGCAAAUAAUCAAGAAGGAAGGAAUGAAUAUCUUUGCUAUUGCUUUUCAUUAUGUCUUUUUGAAGAUGUGAUGCACUAAGAUUUCCUGUGAUUACAUGUAAUAGCUGGAGGGGGGAAGAAGGGAAGACAGUAAAUGAAAGUCAUACAAUUAAUUCACUUAAAUCUGUCACUAAGGCUUCAGUGAGCCAAUCUGUAAAUAACUCUACUGCUAACGUAACUUUGUUUGCAUAACUCAGCUCAAACCCCUCAGAGAUGAGGGACCCAGUGCUUUUCCCCUCACUUCCUGCACAUGAAAUGCUAUCUGGGACAGCAAUAGUCUGUAAAUCUGACUCUGUGGCAAUGCACCAGGUUUGAGUGGAUGAAAAAAAGCUCCACAUGCCAGCACGCAUGCCUAAAAUUAGCACCAAAGACAUUGGAUUCUCGAGUGCUUUAUUCCUUUCUUUUCCUCUCACUAAAGGGCUGGGUUUUUGGCGUGCUGCUGAGGACCAGUUCAUAAUAUUAGUCUGAGGUUACUGUGCCAUUCAACCAAACCAGAGUUGAGCACCUUUUGUUCAUGAGAUGAAUGACACCAGCUCCUCCCCUCCCAGCACACCAAAUCAAAUUAACCUACUGGGGUAACUGGACUGGGCUGCUCAGGUGCUGGUGGUCUCUGAGCUUUGCAAUAAUCAUCUGCAGAUGGCAGGAAAAUGCAAGCCUGAGAAGCAUAAAGUGGCUGAAAGGCAUCUGUCCAAGAGUAAUUGAGGCUCCAGGACCCCAUUUAUAGCAUGGGGAUGUAAUGUUCCAGUGAGCCCCAUCCCAUCAGGUGCAGAGUGUGGGUGCUGCCUGCAUCAUCUGCCAGUGGGACAUGCUGGGAGGAGCUGGGAACUGCACAGGAGCAAAGCAAGAAUGUUGCAUGCCCAGGAGUGCAGCAAUGCACUGUUGACAGUGAGCAUCACCUGAUGGGACAUCAUAUAGGGGAAGGUUGAGCAAAGAGGUGACUUUGGGGUCAAGGAAAAUGAGAUCCAGAGAAUAGAAUAAACUGAAGAAUAGAAGCAAAAUGCCACUGACUUUUUGUAACCCAAUCCAAAGGGCUCCAACAGCAAUAACAAGAUUUCAAAAGAAAAAAUCAUUGUAGGCUGCACAGGUACUGGAGGAACACCCAGAGCAAAUUCUCUCUUGUACUUAGCCCAUGGAAAAUAUUAGUAAUGCCUUGUGUCCCAGGAGACUGAACUGACCCUGACUGGCCCAGCCUGUCUGGAGGCUUUUCUGUGAGCCUGACCUAUUAAAUAUUCUCUCUUUUAUUUCACAACAAACACUUCCCUCCCUCCUCUCUAAUGAGAUGUUUGGCUGAGCAGCGUUUGAAGAACAGAGAAAUUCCAUGAUAUCAUUUGCAGGUGGGCCAGGCAGAGGUAUCUUUACUGUCAGGUUUUCAUUUUAUUAGAUAUCACCAGAAAAAAAAAUAGCUUUGAAAACAAACUCUAGCUGAACUCCAGCCCAACAGGAGCAAAAUUUCACAUAGCCAUCUAUUCUGGUAGAUUAGCGGCCUUUAGAAGAGGAAGCCAAAGGAUGUGUUUUCUUCAGAGAGCAUUUUAAAAAUCUCUAAAUCUCUUAGAUUUUUUUUCAAUCCCAGAAUAACUUUGGAAAUACAAGAGUGCUUUUCUUCUUUAAUCUUGUCAACAAUUUCAAGCAGAGAUUUGUUCUGGGGAAAACUGCAACUCUGCCUUAGGUUCUGAUAAGUGUAGAAGAGUUUGUCCUGCUAAUAUAUUCUUCCGAAUUCAGAUCAACCAUGGAAAAACAGAGGGUGAUGAAACACUGAAACAGGUUGCCCAAGGAGGCUGUGGAUGCCCCAUCCCUGAGGGCAUUCAAGGCCAGGCUGGAUGUGGCUCUGGGCAGACUGGUCUGGUGUUUGGUGACCCUGCACACAGCAGGGGGUUGAAACUGGAUGAUCAUUGUGGUCCUUUUCAACCCAGGCCAUUCUAUGAAACCCCGUAAGUUCCAUCAGACAGAUGAGAAACCUGCACCUCCAGAGGAGGAGGCAUUGAUUCCCAUAUUUCCACAGUCUUAAUACAAGAUUAGUCUUAACAUUUCUCAUCAUUUAUACCAUGAUGCUUUUAAGGAUUGUGUCUUUUCUAUUCAAAAAGUCAAUAUUAUAGAGGUUUUCCUGCAUCCCAAAGAAAUCAGACAAAAAAAAGUUUUAGCAACAGCAGCAUUCAUUGCAAGGUGAUUUCUGCUGAUAACACAGUGGUAAACUGCUUUUAUUAUAAAAUCUAUUUCCAGGGGUUGGCUUUCCAUAGGGAAAAGUUACUCUAUGCCUGAAUGCAUUAAGUCCUGAGUGUCAUAUUCAGUCCCUGCAAGGACAGAGGAUGAUCAGUAUUUUAGGAAAUGUAAAGUCUAUUUCAACUUAGGAGAAAUGUGUUUUGAGUGGUGUGUUUCUGAGUUAAUGUACGGUGAGGAUGCAGACUAAAAGGCCUCCAGGCAGCUUCAAAUUGUUAUUAAAGGGAGGAAAAUAUAUGGAGGGAAAAAUCUAUCAUCUUCAUUUUCCAUGUGAUUUCAAAGAAAAAAGAAACCACUUUGAGGGAAAGCUCUGACAAAAAGAUCGCCUCUAAUGCCAUAAGUUAUGGUUCUAUAAAUCAGCCAGAUGAUAUAGGGCUGGCACCAGGCAAAUAUAUCUUCUAGCAUCAAGAACUAUAGGGGAGAUUCUCUCAUUCAAGAGUUGUUCAUAAUUCACUAUAAUUGGUGGGAAAGUGAGGGCUGUGACAAUUUAAUUCAUUCACAACUGGCAAUGUUAUUAUUGCAGAACAAAAAUGCCGUGUUAGAUGAAAACCAUCUGGUGUCAACAAAAACCAUCCCUGUGGUCAAGCAACAGCUUGGGACAAGUGGAUGUUGUUUGAAAAGUCACUGGGCCAGAAGCAGGGUUGAUUCCAGCCUCUGAAACGGGCACGAAUUCUUCUCUCGUAAUAAGAAAGGUGCCACCCAAACGUGCAGAGUCCCACUUGCCUCAGGUUAAGAUUAUGCUUUGGACUAGAGGCCAGGAUUUUCCCAUUGACAUGGACAAAUUGGUCUACUUUAUUGCAUUCUGGAGAUUUGAUCCUCCUCUGCAGUCUGCUGGGCAACUUCCAAAGGAUAGAAUUGGAUUCCUCACCAUAAAGUUUCUCCUUCCAAGAUGGAAAGGGCUUUUAUGGCAAAGUAUAAAAUCAAAAAACAAGCUGUCACUCGCAUUUGCUGCCCUGCUCUUUCUGUGCACUGUAAGAAGCACUCUCAGGGUUUUGAAGCCUGCUGUAUUAAGUGUGAGAUGGUGAAAAGGUCAUGACAGAAGGGCUGGUGAGAUUGAAAUCGAGUGCAGGAGCAUUCUGCAAGGAGGUGACUUGCCUGCUCCAAAUGCCCUGAGAAGUGAAGGCGAGAGCCUUAGCACAGCAUUGUGCUACCUGUGUCUUCUCCAUCCCUGCUACCUGCAUCCCUCCUUGCACAACCAGACCGUGGCUUUCAGGGUGACUGAUGUCCCCAUCAAGGAACAGUUUGUGACAAAGGAAUACAUCUUCCAUGAGGAGGAUGACCAGGAAUUGGACAACAUGAACUGAAGAAAACAUCUCCUGCCUCAGCAAUGGGCUCCCAAACCAAAACAGACAUUACUGCCUGGAAGUAAUUCGGAGGAACUCUACCAGCAAGUGUGAAAUGAAUGCAAAUGUGCAGCUUCUUUAGACUUAAUUGUAGAAGAGCAUCUGUUUACAUUUCAUUUCAGUACUACAGUGAACCCUCAUCUAUUGGGAAGUUUGCAGCCUGCAAAGAUAGCAUGUUGUUGAGUGGUUUUGAAAAGAAUAUACCAUCAUUCACCAGGUUCAUGCUGCUUGCCUCUAUUCAGCCACUCACCAGAGCCACCCUAUCGAAACUACAACUGUGGAUGUAAGCAUUUCUGAGAGCUGUAAUUGAACUCCCCAUCACAACCUUUACAGCAAUCAUUUUGAUUACUCUUAGCUUAGCAAUUAUGGCUGAGUGACACAUUUUCAGCUUUGGAAAACAAUAUGCCUAGCCCAGCUACCCUAUGCAUAAGUGUCUCAUAUACAUAUAUCCACAUAGAUAUACAUAUUUACCAGCUUUCACGUGCUAAAUGGUUUCUAAGCUCCUGCCUGCCAAGGAGCUGGUUGAUCCAUGAGCAGGAUUCCUGUUGGAUGGCUGCGUGAUGUGUGCCAACAGCUCCCUCUGGGUUUUUUGUCUGAGAUUUACUUCAGUUGCAGAAAAAUCAGGGAAUGUCUUUGUUCCCAGAAGUACUCCUGGCAGCCGACCUUGGAUCACGACCCAUCAUCGCAGCCCAGUUGCACAGUCUCUAGACAGCAUCUCCUCGGGGCCAGCACAACCUGGGGUGAUGAGACAAGCUCUGUAAUGGAAACGAUUGUGCCUUUGUGUCUGGGCAGCCAGCAAGUGUCAUUCUUUGAAACACAGCGGCUAUUUCAGAAAGAGCAUCUCUAGCGGAGAUGCAGCAGUUUUCCAGGGCACCAUGGAGACAUCCAGUUGCAUAACCCUGACAGUCACUGGGAGACAGUCUGCUGGCAAGCAUUACUGAUACCCCCCGCUCCUGCUCAGCAUGAAGUCCCAAUGACCUCAGCCCUUGGCCGCCUUGUCCACCUCCAACAAGGAAUGUUAGAGAGAACAUCUCAGGAGCCCCUCCCAUAAGCUAUGAACCAAAGCCCUUAAUUUUACAGCUACUAAAAUAUACCAAAGUUCAACACAAUAGCUUUUCAAGUUGACUAACUGGUACGUGGGAGCCAAAAAGCAGGAGCCAUGUAGAUUUAUCAUGUCGUUAAAGGGAACUGGGGUGAGUGUUAGGCAGAGGAUGGAGAUCGCGAACCCAGAGCUGAGGGCAACAGCUUUAUGAUGAGUUUCACCAUCUGAAAGCCUGGUGUUGUGCACUGCAGCAACCAGCGUUGAGCUCGUCAGAUCUCAGAUUUGCAGCAGGCUGCUUUGCUUCUUUGUUCAUCAAAACAGGGAAGAAAUAGUGGAGCACUUUGGAAAAAUCCUGGAGAAUCUGGUAGAGAUGGAAUUGAGGGUGCUUAGGAACUUGCAGAGUCCAAGGCAGAAAUUACUGUAAAUACUUGUUGAAUUUAGUAAGUGUUUUUAUGCUUCCUGUUGGGUUAUUUUUAACACUCUUGUAGGAUUCCAUAGUGGGAUAUGAUUAUGCAUUAAAUUUUAAUGGUUGUUUUAAAAAUAAAAGCUGUCGAAUGCUAUCAUUUUCUAUUAGGUAAUACAGAGUGCCUCCAUUAGGAGUGUUUUUCUCCUUCCAAACAAAGCCUAGGCAGGCUCGAGCAACAGUCAUGAGCAAAAUAAUCCCAGCUUGGGGAAGAUAUUAAUAAAAUCCAGGCUGCAAAAUGUGCAGGAAGCUGCUCUAAUGUAUCCAUUUCCAAUUUCUGUUCACACAGGUGAACUCAAGAGCAAACCAAGGUUCACCACAUCCUAAUUGCAUUUGGGGGCACUGCUGAAAACUUCAACUUUGAGAUUUUCCUUAAGGAAUUCUCCUUGAUUCGUAUCUUCUUUUGUGAUCAAGGAAAAGUUUUCCUGCAAUUUGAAGAACCUGUAUACAUUUCAUGCCUUUUCUAAUCUAACCCCAUGUGGCACAGAUCAAAGGCCUUCAUGAAGUUCAGAGCAUGAAGCUCAGUAAUCUUGCAUCCUGAAUGAAUUAUCUGCCAGGAAGAGGUUUAAGUCUCAUGUGAAGGUAUCAUUGGCUUCUGUCAUCAUGUACGCUCCUUUGGCUGUAUGAUUAAUUGCUGUGAUUUCUGUAGGACUAACAUGGUCAUGUCUCAUUAGCUGUCUUUGGCCACCACACAUUCAUCAGUCAGGCAUCAUCAGAACACCUUUGGUUUUUAAGAUCGUACUAGGUUUUCACAGAUCAUGCCCAAAUUUUACUGGAGUGCUUGUGAAUUCUGGUUGAAUUCAAGCCCCACUGGGCAAGGGGAGAAAUGUUCUCUGCAAGCUCAAGAGCUGAGCAGGCCAAGAUGAAGAAAGAUUGGGGAGAAUGUGGUCAGCUGCAAAUAUCACGUGAGUGUUCCCAGUAUCUGGGGUCAUUAACUUUGGUUUGGCAGGAUUUCAGUAGGAGGAAAUUUGCUAGAGGAAGAUGAGAAGAUCACCAGACAAGGGUGCCACAUCACUGUGCUCAGGACAUGAUACGUCAGGAGCUGGACUUCUGCCCUGCAGGGCCUUCUCCAGUUUUGGCUGCAGAACACCUGAGCAGCCCCUUCCAGCUGUAUUUCUGGGCCAUGCACACAUGCCAUGGCCAUGCUGAAUGCACAACACUCAGCAGCAUGGCAGGGGCUGUGUCCCAAAGGCACAGGGCUGGACACCACCUCCAUCUUCAUCCCAAGAGGAGAGGACAUCCCAUGGGAGAGGGACCAGUGCAGAGAGCUCCCAGCAGGGUUUUGCAGCAGCCAGCUUACAGUGGCGUGGCAAUGUGAAUGUCUGCAAGGUGCAGAGCUUUUUGUGCUGUGGAUUCUGUCUCCUUUUAUUUCUUGUGUAGGCAGUAUUCCUCCUGACUCCAUUUAUUUAUCUAGAUCCAUUGUGUGCUUACUAAUAGAGACAGCAUGUUCUGGUUUUUUUAGCUUGAGAAGUUGAGAAGGAAAUUCUCAUGAAAUAUGUUACCAGUCUAAAUUAUCCCAUGACUUGCCUACGUUUCAAAUUAACUGGUGGAAUAUCAACAAACAUAAUGGCAAUUCUUUUCCAAUCCCAUCUCCUCCAGUCAGUCUUUAGCCCACUUAUCAGACACUUGUUAUUACAAAAAUAAUCAGGAGAGGAAAAUACACCAGUGCUGAAUCAACACUACCAUACUUCUUUUUUUUUCCCCUCUUUUUGAACUCGUCCAACUUGCUUGGAUUCUGUUGGCCAUGCACCAGCCUGAAACUGGAGAAACACAGCUGGCUAAAUCCAUCACAUCUUAUUACAGGUUAUCAAUUCUCCCCUGCAAUAAACACAUUUGACAAUUAGCAGGGAAUUGAUGAGUGAGCCAGUUUGAUUGCUGCUAUUUCUUUACUCCUUAGUACCUGACAGAGAGGUUUACAAUGCAACCUUAAUUUGUAGAAAAAGCAAGACGCUGGUAAAGCCAUUAGCGUUUCUUAUACCCAAAAUGACAAAUGGUCUUUACAUUAAUCUCGAAUCACUUCUUUAAAGCAAGGAUCAGGAAAGAAUUUUCCUCGAAAGGAUAUUGCUGCCCAGCUGGGGAGGUGCUCUAAUAGGGCUUUCUCACCUUCUGGGGGAUCGAUAGCAUGGGGCUGCCAGGCUGCAUUGCUGGGCUCCAUAAAGCCAUUGGUGUAAUUUGUUUUGAUGAACCUUCUGCUUCAAAUAAUAAUAAUAAUAAUAAUAAAAAUUGCAAACUCUGCAUAGACAGAAGACCAAACCACACCAUGACUCACAUCGUACAGUAAACCAUUUAGGAGCAAUACUGCAGUGAUUGAGAUUUAACUCAUUCCAUUCCAUAUCUCUCUGCAAUUAAUCCAAUAUUUGGCCAGCUGGCUUUUUUUGAAUUUCAGUUCUUCAUUUGGGAAAAGGAAAAAAUAAAUAAAUCAAAGCUCUGCCAAUGCCAAUCACUGUAGCAAAGCUCCACAAUGGUCUGAAAAUAAGGACUGUCAGGGACUUCGAGAAGGAACCUACUCUUCCCAUCUCUCUCAAGACCUCCCUGAUCCCCAGGAGCCUUUCUCUGUGGCUGGGCCUGACAUUAGCUCCCAACAGCUUUGAUCCCAUGAGGUUUAUUCAGACAGAGGCAUCAUCUUUUGUGUUUAAAAUGGGCAUGCAUCAGGAAAAACACAAGCUACCUUCAGUGUAGUCUCAGAAUACCAGACACCAGCUUUGAUCUCUUCAAUGUGCAGAUAAAAUGAGGCUGGUGAGAGAAUGAAAUCUCCUUCCUUUUCAUUUGCUAAGUACAUUAAUGUGUUCUUGAUCUCAAAAUGAUUCUCAUUUACUCACUGUAAUCACAGCGUUUUCAUUCUUCUCUUUGUUUGUAGGGCCUUUGCUGUUGGUUUUCUUUUGUAAUCAAGAGGUUUUUUUUCUGUUCUUGCAAGCUGAAUAUUUUCCUGCUAGCAAACUUGUCCUAACUGUGCUUUACAAGUGCAUUCUUUCCUUCAUCUCAUUUCCUCCCACCCUGAGCUGGGGCAGAGAUUUGCUCUGGCAGCAGAUAUGAAGGCUGCAGAUAAUGCCGAGGAAAGCAAAGACCACACGGAGUAGUGUUGGCCUGAGCAGCAGCAAGAAAGUGCCCCAUGCACAUCCAUUAGGGAGAGUUUUGUUUGGCAGACCUCCCAGCCUAAUAAUCAGUUUGGUUGUGGUUAGGGUUGGUUUUUUUUUUUUUUUUUUUUUUUUUUUUUUGGUCUUUACUGCCUAUUUGGAAGAACAGCAGCAUUGGUGUUCUGGUGACUUGCUGAUCGUUAUACAGUUGAGGAAAUAGUUAAACAUAAUGAGAGGUCAGACUACAACUGCUCCACACCACCUCCAUGGCCAUAAGGGUUGUGCCCCAACACAAGAUACAAGAUGCUGUAAGGUGUUUAUGGUGUUGCUGCUGGGGAGGAUGAGAAGUCCCUCCCUCUGUUAAUAAAGAACAAAUGCUGGAUACAGAGCAAUGUGCUGACUCUUCCUGAGACUUAGAGGUACAUCUCAAGCCAAACAUGAGAUGAUGAGCCUCAUGUUCUCGUGGUUAAUGAGUGUGUGCAGUCAUAGCCUAUGGUUGCUGCCCAUUAACUUUGCUCAGCACACAGUGAGAGAGAGGUUAGAAGCUGAAUACUUGGGUUUGCAUUUGGUCAUAGACGUAGAAAACACAACAAAAAGCAAAGUGGAGAUUUCCUACAGCUCAGCUGGUGCAUGGUAAGCUCGCUAAAUCUCAGUAACUUGACAUCUCUUCCUGGCAAUUGAAAUUCUGCUUUCCCUGGGCUGGCAGUGUUAAAGAGGAAAAUACAAUGGCACUUCGUGGUGCUUGUGAUGGUUCAUGGAAAAAUGUGCAUCCCAAUCAUAUGACCCAGGAGGUACAUAGGAUGUAACAGAGUGCGGUGGGUGAAAAGCAGAAGUUCCCAAAUUGAUCUGUGUUGGGAAAAUCGUCUGCAGGUUCCAAUAACUGUGUCAGCUGAAUCGCUUGGACUGCUUUCGUGUGCAGAACCGUGCAGGAAAUCCCAACAAAGCAGAAUUUCUCGUAAGACUCCUGGUGCAUCAGCCUGCAGACCGAGCCAGAAAGAAACCACAAAAAACAAUUGCUCUCCUUGCUGUGCAGCUACUACAAGUCCCAGGUGGAACCUGAAAAUGAAAUGUGUGCGUGUGUCAAAAGAUCGCCGGGCUUUCCAAAAUCCACUCUUUGAAUACAGUUGCAGAAACAAGCACAUGAUGUGGGUCAGAGGGUCACUCUGUGUUUUAUACAUUGUUCUCUCAUCAGCUCUGCUAGAACUGACCCAAUGACUCCAUUUAUGUAGGAAUAUUAUUUGAAGUUUCUUAUACGUCGCAGAUUUGGGCACCCAAGAUGGUGCAUCACUUUGGAACAUCUUUAAGGAAACUUCAGAGCUGUUAUAUGCUUUACUGAACAAUGAACCCUAUUUCUUCAUUGUUGUUCUGGGAUGAAUAUCUGCUGAACCAGAAGUGUAGAAACAGUGAGAAGAAAUUGGCUCUAAAAGGUCUUUAAAGCUAACUUAUAUUCAAGGAUUCAUCAAGGACCUGGUUUGUCCUACUCCUACCUUUCAGAGGAGCGUAACGAGGAAGUUAGGAGGCUGGCAACGGUAAUACAAGAGAUCCAUGUCCAAGUCCAAAUAUUUCUGGUGCAUUCUGAAUGGCCAGUGUAUACCCAAGACUUGAUCUCUGUUACGGGGUUGCCUGCCUAUAAAACACAGCACUUUUUCCUUAGGGAUGACUUGUGUCUUUUGCAGUUUAUGAAGUAUCCAAGUCCUUUGUAAACAAGAUUUAAGGAAGUCUAACCAUUUUCACCUUGCAGCAGAGUUUCACGGAGAGCAAAAGUAAGAACUCAAACACCAGAGGAAAAGUUAACAAGAGAAGAGAGCAUUUGGGGUUCAUUAGGAAGACAUUGGAUGAGAAGUUGGGAAGCAGCAGAAAAAUGCUAUAGGGUAAAAAGGAAUUCUUUGUGCCAAGGAUCUUGUCUUGUUGUCUUCAUCUGUAAAAUAUCCAGAAAUCUGCUGGCACAACAUGAAACAAGACAGAGGCUGAAAGCAAUAAGACUGCGCUGAAAUUUAAGUCCUGUUAAAUUCAUUUUUUCCAGGGUUUGCAAGAGCUGUUUCCCUUCCACCUGCUGACCAAACAGGAUAGCAGUAAAAUACUUCCUCUUACUGACUCACAAAUCUGUCGGACGUGAUGAGGCCCAAUGGGAGUUUGGUGAUGUCUUAAAUAGUGAUUUGCUUUUUGCCUCAUGGCAAACAGCACUCCCGGACUGGUAACACAAGCUGUGCUUCCAGGCUAUGGUUCACAGGGCUAUCCAAACAGACUCAAAGAGGUCUUGGUCUCCUCUGUUGCAUGAAGAUAGGUCUUGUUAUUAUAGUUCUGUUUGCUCACAAGUGAGAUUGUGCAGGGAUUUUUCCAUUUCAGCGUACUGCAGAUGAGGGGAGCAGGACAGCAACUUCUGCAGAUGGUCCAGAGCUGACCUGAAGCUGUACAAACCCUUCUUCAGGGCCUUUCCCAAAGAGCAAACCAUGGGUUUGUGUGGCCCAGCACAGAUCGUUCUAAUCUGUCCUGCAGUUCUCUCUGUCCCUGCAGCUAUUGCAGUUUGGAGAGCAUUUCUCCUGCAGCUGAUGGCCAGAAAACCAGGAGGCAGCUCACUGGAGUAAAUCUCCAUUGAAGUUUUUUGGUUUUAUUUCCCUGCCAUAGAGGCAAGACAACAACGGAACAUUAAAGUGAGUUAUUAUAUGCUAUGGGUUUCGGAAACAUCCCUGUGCUUCCUUCCUAGGUCAUGUACAGCCCUGUGGUUUCUGCAGGCUCCGCUCCUGCUCGGAUGCCGGUAGCUUUCCAUUCCCACCGCCUGGAGCCGCUUCUCCAAAGUCUGACUAAACGUGUGUGUGUGUAAGGGGAAAUGAUUAACUCUGACCAUCUAUAGAAUGAAAUUCUUCCUACUUAAAGGUACUCCUGACAAAGCUGACUGGGAAGAAUUGCUAUGGUGGUUUCAAAUAGAGCAUACUGCACUUUUUCCAAAAACUUCUUUGAUAUUUUUUGUGAAGAGUAAAGAGUGGUUUCUGCAAAGGAAUAUCUGCCAUCUCGCUGCAAAUAAUCAUUGGAUUAUGGUUUUAAUUCUAAAAACAUACAUACCCACAGUUGCCCCACUGAAAAUAAAAUCCUUUUUAUCAAUUGAAUAUGCUGGACCUGAAAACAAGGUGACAGUCCUUAACAACAAGGCUCAGACCAUUAAGUUUUUGUUCUCUUUUGUCUCAAAAAAGGUAUUCAGGACUCGGACAUUCAUGUAAAAUGUCCUCCUAGCUCUCCACCCCCACCGGAGAUUUUAAACAAACGUUAAAGAAGGAAAGGAAUAGCAUAAGCAAAUUUCAAGGGACAGGAUGAAUUACAACCCAUCUGUAGUUUUUUUCCCAUUCUGCUGACAAUCUACACUGAACUCUGUCUGCGUUGUUGUGCAGAAAUGUGCCGGUGGAUUCUUGCUGAAGUUAUCCAUAGUCAUCUGAGCAGCCCAUAGGGCACUGCUGUCACAGUGACUGCCUCCAAGGCCACAGCAAAGCAGCCCUGUGCCAGUGGGGCCAAAGCUGUAGCAAAAACUAAACCCCAGAUGCUGGCUUUUCCUUUUCCUGAGUCACUGCUGUGCCCAUGCCAUCACCCUGCAGCUCUCUACAGGUGCCUGGGGAAUAUUCAGGGAAGGGCACAACACCAGUUGAACAAGAUGCUUUCCCAGUUUUGCCCCAUUGGAUGCACUGCAAGUCACCCCAGAGCCUUGAGUGAUGCCAUUCCGAGGCACAUGCAGAGCAAGUCCCUUUCUUCCUGUAAACAGAAAGAGAUGUUUUCAGUUUACAUGCUUCCAGUUUACAUUGCAUGGAAGGCUUAUGUAAGUAACAGGGGAAAAGAAAAAAACUUAAUGAAUUCAUAACAGCCCGGCUAGGCACGGCCUCCAGAGCUAAACCUGUCAGGAUCUGGCCCAAGGAGGAUGCUCACUGGGAGACCUGACAAGCAAGACUGCGGAACUACAAGGAUUUAUUGUACACCAAAAUAAUUCCUAUGCUCACUGAGCAAAGCUGCUGCCACAGAGUAACUGCUUUCAAAAGUAUUUUCCAUCAUGAUCUCCAAGUCCCUUUUCUUGCCCAGAUUCCAUCACAACAAACAGCCCAAGGAUUUAUAUGCCUCUCGCUUACCUUGUGAUGACAGCCUGACACACGGGUUGCACAGAGGGAGGAGAGGAAGGGUUCAGCUCUCCUGUGCCCAAGCCAGGCUGAGGGCUGAGGGCAGAGGUCCUGGAAUGGGGCUUGCUGCUGUCCUGGGUCUGCUGGCUCUGCUCUAAGAGCAGAGAAAGGUGAGAAAUAUCAACACCAAACUACCUAGAUCUUUUUCAAGCACAAUAGGAAGCACUUGAAGAAGUGUCACAUCACUCACUUGUAGCAAAUGGUAAACUUACGCACUUUAGAAAGAGAAGAUGUAGGGUAAUGAUGGGGACGUUUGAGGUCCUCAUUCUGUUUUCAUGUGCAUAUGCCCAAAACAGACAAAAUAUCAUCUCCAGAUAAAAGAGAGAUUUGUUGUCUCAGCAGUUCCUGAUCUGCUGCUCAGUGGUAGAAGCAGCUUAGCCAAAACCAUCACCAUCUUGCUGAUGUGCAUACUUACAGACAAAGAGAGAAUUCAUCUUACACAGCUCCAAGGUGUCCAAGUGUUGGCUGAUGAAUCCUGGGCUUGUGCAUGGCCUUCCUUUAUUUUUUGUGAAGAACAACAGGCACCUCCAGAAUUUCCUUCUGACCAACAGUACAUAAGGAUGAGACCAAACUGCACCUUCAACUCUAUGAUUGUUUUGGUUCCCUUCCAACUUGGGAUGUUCUAUGAUUCCAAUGGGCUGCAAAGGGCUGCUGGGUAAUGAGCCAGACUGUGUCAGCACCGUAUCUGCAGGAGUAUAGUAAUAAUGCAAGAAAAUUGUAUUAAUUGUAUUGUCAUAGCAAUCGAAAUUCCCAAAUAGCAUCUCUGUGCCACAGCCCAUCCAUGUAUCUCCUCCUGCUGAUAAAGACAGCAUGGAAAUGAGAGGAGGGACUAUCAAGAAAGGUGUCUGUGAUAAGCAGCACUCAAAAAUUGCAAAUGCAAUAGAAAGAGAAAGACGUGGCUGUACUAAAGAUCAGGGGAUAAAUGACAGUGGGUGUAGUGAGUGCUGAAGACUGUGGAAGAUACAAAGGCACAAAAAGAAAAGCAGAGAGCCUGCCUCGUGCUGGGAUCUCAGCUCACCCCACUGCACGGAGGAGCAGGUGCAGAGGAAGAUGUGGGGCAAACAGGGUGGUGGAGAAGAAUCAGAAAUAGCUUUGUUUAGGCUCGGAAAAGGAGGGAAAGGCUUGGAAAAGGAUUGCUUUCUAUAAAUAACCGAUGUAACCCCUCAGGGAAGGGAGAUAGUUAUUUAAGCUGAAGGACAAUGUUGGCCUGGAAUCAAACUGGUUGUGAGUAAAUAGAGGGGGGAAACAUGAAGCAGGUUUCUGAGCAUCACAGGAAAGAUGUUCUGAAACAACUUUCCAGGCGCAGCAGGAACCUGAGCGCUUCUAAAUCCGCUGGAGCAGGAAAUGGAUCUCCGUGCCAAGAUAUCUUUGCCAAUGGCAAAUUUUACCCUGCCUCAGAAAAUCAGACUGGAUGAAAUCCUGAGAGAUAGCUGAUAGCUUGAUAGCUUGACCGAAGACAGGUCUGCUCCUUCUGAUGGGAAGAGGGCUGUGCCCUGUAAAUAGCCACAUGUGACAUCCGAUGGCUUCUUUGUCCUUCGCUGUCCCAGUUAUUGCAGCAUUUUGUUGUUAGGACAGGCAUUUUUCCCCUUUAUCUUCCCUCUAUGUCCCUUUCCAUUGCUGGGCUGCUGGCAGCUGAUGGACCACUGUGGGACGGGUGGGAUGCUGGGGCCUGGGAAACAAAUGCCUGGAGAAACCUUGGUCAACAAAGUCUAUGGAAACAAAACAAAAACAAGACCAGUAACACUGUUUUGAACGUUGCUGUUUAGUAAACGUGGAAACUGAGGAAACUGGGCUCUACGUUCCUUUCCUUUGAUUAGCCUUUUUUUACAGGACAGUCUACAGAGGAAUUGGUGAUACAGGAAAAGGCCACAUUCCCACAAAAACUGCAGUGCACACAUUCCAGCAGCAGAGCACAAGGAUGGCCCAGGGUGGUCUCUCACUGGGGACCUGCGGGAUGGCAUUAGCCUCGUGCAAUCUUCUCGCUUAGCUCUACACCUAGAAACAAACAGAAAAUGCAGCCCAGUUUGAACGGAAUUGCAGUUACAGUUUCACCCAACUUUUUCUCGUUUUUUGUUUUUCUCGUUAUAUCUGAGGUAAAUUGUGCAAGACAGGUACUCACAUUUUCAGUGGUUAUUAGGUUGGUCGAAGGCUUUUCCUUGUUGUAUAGAAGAGAUUUCUACCACUUGGGCCCAAAGCGAAUAAGCAACUUUAUACAAACUUAUUCAAUUUACAUUGAAUUCUUAGCGUAGAGGAGAGAAAUAAAUAAAUUCCUCUUUUGUCUCCUACAGUUUCUAAAAAAACCAGGUUCGCUGUACCUUACAUUUCUAAUUUAAUCAGGUUACUGUAAUCUUGAGUCAUUCAUCACUGGGUUGACCGAAGUGCAGCGAAGUGGUCAGGUUGUCACAGCUGACAAUGGGUCAUGCUGUCCUCCUCAGCCCUUUAAGGCAAGAAAAGGCAAAGUCUGCAGCUGAGAUGGAAAAGGGAAUGAGAUUUGUCAAUGCAAGCAGGCAAUGGCCCCUCUUACCCUGUCUGCACUCCCCAUGAGGGCAAACAUAACCUCUGCCAAGUACAUCCCCAUCUGCACCCCCUCAUAUCUUAUCAGGGUCUCGCCUGUUAGUGGCAUUCUGUGCCCCAGCCACACAUCAGUGGCCAUCUGGGGUUUGUGCUCAAUGCAACAUCAGAGAAAAAGCUGCUGUACAGAGGUUGCCUUAUCAAGGUCUGAUAAACAACCUUCUUGCUUGGAAAUUUUCAAUUGAACAGAUGCUUGUGCCAUGCCUCAGCAGUUGCACCAGGAGCACUGUCCAUCUCCUAUGUCCUAAAAAAAGUCAUCCAUGAAACAGGCGAGCACAAGAGCUGAGAAAACUUGGACAGAGCUCCCAGCCAAAUUAUGAGCGUGUUGCCAAACAUGGAGAAAAGUGCCUCUGAUUCUUCUGUUAAGGCGUCCAAAGAGGGCCACAAAAUUAUAGUUCAAACUAUAAACAGAAUGAGUACAUUUUGUUCAUUUUCCUGUUCUCUUUAUAAUCGAUGCAAUAUGAAGAGCUGCUAUCAGUGGAGAGUUAUACAAUCAGAUGGCAGCAAUAAAAAGAGCGUUAGCAAGUCUAGGAUAUCAUGGGAGGUUGACUGGAGGAAGCAGUUAUAAAACAAGACCAUUUCAGUCUAUUUAGAUGACAACAUCAGAUUCGUGGCUAAGUCAUUUUGAUGUCUGUCUGUCCACUUAAUACCCAACUAAUGGACAGCUGCAUCCUGAUUUACAGUGGUUGCCUGGAGAAGGAUGGGUUGCAUACUGAGGGCUAUGUAUGCACAUGGACAUGGGUCUGUGUGCACCUUGAAUGAGAUGUCUGAUACGUACAGUAACAAUAUGCCCAUGUAUAGAUGAGCUAAUCUUGUUUACAUCAUAUAUUCAUAUACAGAAUUUAGUAAUUAUUUUUAUUCACACUGUUUCCUACUUUCAUUAGACUUACGGGAGAUUCUUUAUUUCUGCAGUUGUAACACAAAUUGGACCAUAGGUUCCUAGACUCACAAGUAUAUUAUGUGGGGAAUGCAAUAAGCACAAGAUGGAUGUCUCCAGCUGCUGUCAGCAGGAGCCUUUACUGCAGCAUCUUUGUUCUUUGGCAUCUGAAAAGAUCCUGGUUCUCAAAUGGUCUUCAGAUUUGUUUUCGCCUUCUCUAGCAGCCAUCUCUGCUCUGAGAUAUCUGCAGAAUGCACUUGGAAGACUCAGAGACUAUCAACAUGAGAGCUGUAAAGCUUUAAAAACAAACAGACAUUUCACCUGUCUCUAAUCAGCCCCAUCCCAUAGCUUGGCUUUGAUUUCCCCUGUGCAGAAAAGAAACGUAUAGGAUUUUAAUUUCCUUGGCUCCCAAGAGCAGUAUGAAUGAGACUGCAGCAUUGCAUUCAGCUUGUGUUAUUAAUGGGCUCCAUGCUUGCAAAUGUCUCAUUCAAUAUAUUUGCUCCAAGUGCUUCCAAAAAGGGGGGAAAAAGAAAAAAGAAAACAUCAGGUUUCUAGGUCUAAUGUAUGUGACCUGACAGCAUGAAUACAUUAGAUCUUCUACAGAAACAUACAAUUUCAGUACUGUACAUUGGAUCUUUAGCCUUUUUGUCUUCAUCUGGCCUCUAAUCAACGUGCUAGCAUUCUGCCUGGAAAUAAGCAGAAUUUUCCUGCCAUUCUGGCUCAUACUUUCUAUUCAUUAGGCAGGGUACAACAUGCCUUCUUACAAAGUCACUGUAAGCUGGGAACGUUGCUGAGCUCCCUGUUCAAGCAACCUGAACGUCUUCCAGUCCUUGUGUUCUCUUACUCAGUGUGCUGCUUGCCCUCCUAUGCCAGACCCUUGCAGGCACAGGACAGAAGGCUCUGCUAAGGCCAAAUGCUGAUUUCUUGCUGCUGAGGAUCUCAUACACCAUUUUUCAGUCAUAAAGAAGGCACAGUCCAGCAAUCCUGUACUGAGUCCUACAGGAUCUCAGCUGUCUUCCAAACCUACAGGCAGGUCAGAGUACCUCCCCUCUUCGUGUCUGGUUUUCCUUUCCCAUGCUCUGGCUUAUCUGCAACCCUUGAAGUUCUUUAAAGGAAGAGCUGUUUCAUAUUAUGCAUCUGGACAGUGUCUAACACAAGAGGGCCUCACUUUGAUUAGGGUCUCUUGUGACUACCGUAAUACAAAUACUGCAAAUAAAAUGCAUUUGAAUCAGAAAAAGGCAAUGAUGCUGCUUUUCCAGUGAGCUCUUACCUCAGGAAGGUCUGGGUGGGAUGGGCUUACCAGGCACAGUGGCCCAACCUGACCCACCCCAGCAUGGACAUCACUUGUCCUUGCAGCUGUCCUUAUGGUGAUGCAAAUCAAACUCAGCAAGAACUGUGCUCCUCUGCCCUGUAUUUCCUGUCCGUAAGCACUUUGCAUAUCCAAAUGUGCCACAUAUUUGUCUUGCAAAACAGAUCCUGCUUCUGCUAGCAGUAAUUAAUCACUUUAUAGCCAUUCUUCUAUUAUUAUGAAUGCAGCAGAUGUGGUUCCGUUAAUAGGUCCCCAAGUGAGCCUUAUCCAGCAUCUCUGACACUUAAUGAAGGAGAUUAUAUGGCCUAAAUAAAGUUUUCAUCAUCCUCUUUUAUAUCUGCACUACUAAGUAAGCAAACAGUACUGAGUGGGAAUCUUGUCAUGGACUCAGUUACAGUACAUAGGAUAAACUCACUGCCAAAUAAUAAAAUGUGUCCACUAGCUUAAUGUGAUUAGUAAUAGCAAAAGCUUGCGUUGGUAUUUUUACAAGGGUUUGAAACAAAACUUUAAAAAGAAGCACGUAGAUGUCUCUAUUCUGCAGCGGCAAUUCAAAAAGCUCGCCACUUCCCCAAUUAACCUCCAUAUUUGAGCAAUGAGAGGGUGCGCAGUUGGCUCCCCAGGAAAACAGCUGCCUCAAGAACAUUGUUCAAGCUUGGGGAAUUUUUCGAGCGUGAUGGUUGCCAUUAAAAAGUCAUCACUUCCAACAGUGGCUGAGACCUCGCAGGUCUUCGGGUGCUCAUAAAAGAGUGCCUGAAGAAUGACAGCGACCAGCAGGGAUGUCAUGGGCUGGGUGCCCCUCACCAGCUCAGGCUGCCCAGGGACCUCCGUGGCCAUGGGCACCUCCAGGGAUGGGGCAUCCACAUCUCUCUGGGCAGUGCCAUGACCUCACUGCUCUCUGAGUGAAGAAUUUCCUCCUCACAUCUAACCUAAAUCUCCCCAGUCUGAGUUUAAAACCUUUUCCCCUUGAUCUGUCACUAUGAACACAACAGGUUUGGGAAGGAGGUGUUUCCCAAAGGGUUCCCUUUGCUUUUAGAACCAGAUUCUCUCUGCCCAGAUGGCUUUCUCACCAUGUUUCUGCUUUGCAUCGUCUGAGGAUCACCACUAUUUUGUCUUUAACUCACUUGUUCAGAAAAGCAGACAGCCAAGAGCCAGCAUCUACUCCUUAUUCCCAGCACAAUAAAUAGAGGAGGCAGCUCCUUGUGUAACACAGACAGAAAAAGUCCUGUGCUUGUCAAAUACAUCCUCUGGGGUUCAUAAGGAGCACCACCACUGUAUAAACAUAUUAUAUAAUUUUAAUAUCCAGUAGGGCCAUCUAAUAAAUUCUAUAGAUCCGACUUCCACUGUUUGUAAUAAGGGGUAUUAAAACAUGUAGUGUCUGCAGCAUGGAGACAUGGAGAGGCAGCUCAUUCAUUGGGACGGAGUAUUAAGCCAUCAAACAGUGACAAACUGGCCCCAUUCCUGCACGCAAGGUGGGAGUGCAGUCAGGUUUAACAUCACGGGGCACUGUUCUAUAGAGCACUGCAGCUCAGCAGCAUGUUCUCAGUCCCUGCACGAAAUGCUUGAGGUAUGACAGCAUGGAAAAACGAUGAACUUACUUUCUCACACGCACCAAACCAGAUUUACCAUGAAAAAGGCAGAUAACUUACAAAUGAUCUCCCCGAGCCCUGUCUCUUUAAAACAAAACAAAACAAAGCGUUGAGUUUUUAAUUAAAGCCCAAUUAAUUUGAAUAAAGCGAGCAAAUCACAUCUGGGUCGUUGCUGUUCUACAGCUUCUAACCACAGCAUGCGUGAGGUUACGUCAAGGACUUGCUUGUCAAUUCUGCUUUAACUCACAUAUGGCGCCGGGUUUAGAGAAAACCAAAGAGUUUUUACUUUCUGCAGUAAAAGCCAAACUAACAUAAAAUGAGAUUAAUGGUAACAGCAGUGAUUGCUUUCAUUUCCCAGUGAACUUUCUCAAUCAUACCAGUAAUCAAGAUCAGGUCAGUUGUUUUUUGGGUUUUUUUUUUUUUUUUUUCAAGGAAAAACGACUUUU